AGCGUGGAGACAGGUGGUGCAUGGCUGUCGUCAGCUCGUGUCGUGAGAUGUUGGGUUAAGCCCCGCAACGAGCGCAACCCUCACCCCUUGUUGCCAACAGGUCAUGCUGGGCACUCUAGGGGAACUGCCCCGGUCAACGGGGAGGAAGGCGGGGAUGACGUCAAGUCAUCAUGCCCCUUACGUCCUGGGCUACACACGUGCUACAAUGGCCGGUACAAAGGGAUGCAAGACCGCGAGGUGGAGCUAAACCCAAAAAGCCGGUCUAAGUUCAGAUUGGAGUCUGCAACCCGACUCCAUGAAGGAGGAAUCGCUAGUAAUCGCGCAUCAGCACGGCGCGGUGAAUACGUUCCCGGGCCUUGUACACACCGCCCGUCACACCACGAAAGCCAGCUGUACUCGAAGUCGCUGAG
rnacentral:rRNA from 1 species